rnacentral:rRNA from 1 species
UACGUAGGUGGCGAGCGUUAUCCGGAUUUACUGGGUGUAAAGGGCGCGUAGGCGGGAGAGCAAGUCAGGUGUGAAAUCUAUGGGCUUAACUCAUAAACUGCACUUGAAACUGUUUUUCUUGAGUGCUGGAGAGGUAGACGGAAUUCCUUGUGUAGCGGUGAAAUGCGUAGAUAUAAGGAAGAACACCAGUGGCGAAGGCGGUCUACUGGACAGUAACUGACGCUGAGGCGCGAAAGCGUGGGGAG